rnacentral:tRNA from 2 species
GCGGGCGUGGCGGAACCGGUAGACGCACGGCACUUAAAAUGCCGAGCCGCAAGGCGUGCGGGUUCGAGUCCCGCCGCCCGCA